CAAUAGCGUAUAUUAAAGUUGUUGCAGUUAAAAAGCUCGUAGUUGAAUUUCGGGUCCCCGCGCUCGGCGCUUCAUUGUGCCGUCGUGGUGUCCCUCCUCGCCGUAAGGCGUCCUUUACUGUGAAAAAAUUAGAGUGUUCAAAGCAGGCAAUCGCUUGAAUACGUUAGCAUGGAAUAAUAAGAUAGGAUCUUGUCUAUUUUGUUGGUUGCGGACAACGAUAAUGAUUAAUAGGGAUAGUUGGGGGUGUCCGUAUUGAGCUGUCAGAGGUGAAAUUCUUGGAUUUGCUCAAGACGAACUACUGCGAAAGCAUUCACCAAGGAUGUUUUCAUUAA
rnacentral:rRNA from 1 species